AGUAGAAUUACUGAGCUCAGAGUUUUGGGGAUGGGGAAGGGAUGGAGGGAGCAGAAGGCACAGUGGGAGGUGCUGAUAAGCACAUUCCAGAACAUGGUGUAGAGAAGGGGCUGACAGAAGAAGCAAUAGUAUUGGUUGAUGAACCACAAGACCCAGGAUUACUUUUUAAAGUUACAACAGAUGUGGUGGGGG